rnacentral:rRNA from 1 species
UACAGAGGGCCCAAGCGUUGUUCGGAUUCACUGGGCGUAAAGGGUGCGUAGGUGGCGGGGUAAGUCGGAUGUGAAAGCUCGGAGCUCAACUCCGAAAUGGCAUUGGAAACUACCCUGCUAGAGGGUCGGAGGGGGGACUGGAAUACUUGGUGUAGCAGUGAAAUGCGUAGAUAUCAAGUGGAACACCAGUGGCGAAGGCGAGUCCCUGGACGACUCCUGACACUGAGGCACGAAAGCUAGGGGAGCAAACAGG